GAUGAACGCUGGCGGCGUGCCUAAUACAUGCAAGUCGAGCGAACAGACGAGGAGCUUGCUCCUCUGACGUUAGCGGCGGACGGGUGAGUAACACGUGGAUAACCUACCUAUAAGACUGGGAUAACUUCGGGAAACCGGAGCUAAUACCGGAUAAUAUAUUGAACCGCAUGGUUCAAUAGUGAAAGACGGUUUUGCUGUCACUUAUAGAUGGAUCCGCGCCGCAUUAGCUAGUUGGUAAGGUAACGGCUUACCAAGGCAACGAUGCGUAGCCGACCUGAGAGGGUGGUCGGCCACACUGGAACUGAGACACGGUCCAGACUCCUACGGGAGGCAGCAGUAGGGAAUCUUACGCAAUGGGCGAAAGCUUGACGGAGCAACGCCGCGUGAGUGAUGAAGGUCUUCGGAUCGUAAAACUCUGUUAUUAGGGAAGAACAAAUGUGUAAGUAACUAUGCACGUCUUGACGGUACCUAAUCAGAAAGCCACGGCUAACUACGUG
rnacentral:rRNA from 1 species